rnacentral:rRNA from 1 species
CCUGGCUCAGGAUGAACGACUGGCGGCGUGCGUUAACACAUGCAAGUCGAACGAAGCACGUUUGAACUCNCGGAGCGAUGAGUGACUGAGUGGCGACGGGUGAGUAACGCGUGGGUAACCCUGCCUCAUACAGGGGGAUAACAGUUAGAAAUGGACUGCUAAUACCGCAUAAGACCACAGGCACCGCAUGGUGCAGGGGCCAAAGCCGAGACGGUAUGAGAUGGACCCGCGUCUGAUUAGCUAGUUGGUGGGGUAACGGCCCACCAAGGCGACGAUCAGUAGCCGACCUGAGAGGGUGACCGGCCACAUUGGGACUGAGACACGGCCCAAACUCCUACGGGAGGCAGCAGUGGGGAAUAUUGCACAAUGGGCGAAAGCCUGAUGCAGCGACGCCGCGUUGAGCGAAGAAGUAUUUCGGUAUGUAAAGCUCUAUCAGCAGGGAAGAAAUGACGGUACCUGACUAAGAAGCACCGGCUAAAUACGUG